AUUAACUUCCACUAAAUGCCUAUGAUGUUCAUUUGUGCUAUGGUUUGGUAGACUGUUGGAAGGUCAUACAUGGCACAAGCCAGAUUAUUUCAUGCAAUUAGUGAAAUGCAUCAUAUGAUUUGCGAAUAUCCUCUUUUGCAAUGACAUUUCUAGGUUACUCCUUUCCAAAUAAUCAAUUGUUCAAUUCUUUAGAAGCAUGAUGCUAACACUUCAUUUUUUUAAUGUGCCAUCCUAUCUUGCAGCCAUCCCCAAAAGAGGCAUCAUCUCUCUGUUACUAGAGAUGGUGAAUGUGGUAAUGAUUUCAGGAGAUUUAUUGGUGCUGAGCCAAUUUGUCAUGCAGAAUACACUAUACAACCUGAAGCAGGACCAGCUGAUGCAGAUGCAAGAAUGCCAGAGCGAGGGCGUCUUAAGCUACGUGUCGGGAAUCUGAAUUCCAAGUCACAACUACUUGGUAUUGAUCAAUUAGCUCACCUGCUGUCAUCAUCAGGCAAUUGCAGAAUACACUAUACAACCUGAA